rnacentral:rRNA from 1 species
AGUGAACGCUGGCGGUAGGCCUAACACAUGCAAGUCGAACGGCAGCACAGUAAGAGCUUGCUCUUACGGGUGGCGAGUGGCGGACGGGUGAGGAAUACAUCGGAAUCUACUUUUUCGUGGGGGAUAACGUAGGGAAACUUACGCUAAUACCGCAUACGACCUACGGGUGAAAGCAGGGGAUCUUCGGACCUUGCGCGAUUGAAUGACGCGAUGUCGGAUUAGCUAGUUGGCGGGGUAAAGGCCCACCAAGGCGACGAUCCGUAGCUGGUCUGAGAGGAUGAUCAGCCACACUGGAACUGAGACACGGUCCAGACUCCUACGGGAGGCAGCAGUGGGGAAUAUUGGACAAUGGGCGCAAGCCUGAUCCAGCCAUACCGCGUGGGUGAAGAAGGCCUUCGGGUUGUAAAGCCCUUUUGUUGGGAAAGAAAAGCAGCAGGUUAAUACCCCGCUGUUCUGACGGUACCCAAAGAAUAAGCACCGGCUAACUUCGUG